rnacentral:rRNA from 1 species
AUUGAACGCUGGCGGCAGGCCUAACACAUGCAAGUCGAACGGUAACAGGAAGCAGCUUGCUGCUUUGCUGACGAGUGGCGGACGGGUGAGUAAUGUCUGGGAAACUGCCCGAUGAAGGGGGAUAACUACUGGAAACGGUAGCUAAUACCGCAUAACGUCGCAAGACCAAAGAGGGGGACCUUAGGGCCUCUUGCCAUCGGAUGUGCCCAGAUGGGAUUAGCUAGUAGGUGGGGUAACGGCUCACCUAGGCGACGAUCCCUAGCUGGUCUGAGAGGAUGACCAGCCACACUGGAACUGAGACACGGUCCAGACUCCUACGGGAGGCAGCAGUGGGGAAUAUUGCACAACGGGCGCAAGCCUGAUGCAGCCAUGCCGCGUGUAUGAAGAAGGCCUUCGGGUUGUAAAGUACUUUCAGCGGGGAGGAAGGGAGUAAAGUUAAUACCUUUGCUCAUUGACGUUACCCGCAGAAGAAGCACCGGCUAACUCCGUG